rnacentral:rRNA from 1 species
GGGUGCGACCAUACUUGCGUUAGUGCACCGGAUCCCAUUACGACUCUGCAGUUAUGCGCGCUAGCUCCAAAGUAGUAGUGGGAUGGGUGACCUCCCGGGAAGUCCCGGUGUUGCACCCUU